CAGAACUUGUCUAACUGGCCAAACUAACCGGCCUCUCGGGAAGAAAAGCAACCGGCGGCGGGUUGGUGGCUGGUGACCUGUGAGUAUCGAGAAUGGCAACUGUGUUCGAUUCCGGUGGCGGCUCGAAGAGGCGGCAGACGGAUGAGGAAGGGGGGCGAGCCCAACCUGGCUUGGAGGAAGACCGCAUCACGACCCUGCCGGAGGCUCUGCGGCUGCACAUCCUCGCGCUCCUCCCGCUCAAAUCCGCCAUCCGCACCGGCGCGCUCUCCACGCAGUGGCGCGCACUCUGGACGCGCCGCUGGCCGGAUCCUGCCUCCUUGGAGUUGCGCGUCGCCGCCCACGAUUCCCUACAGCCGCUCAUGGAAUCCCUGGAGCGGCGCGGGCGGCGGCGCAUCGACCGGUUCUCCCUCUCGUUCAAGAUGGGCGAGCUCACCGCCGACGAGUUCCGCCGCUGCCUAGACUACGCCGCAGCCUGCGCCGUCGCGGACCUCCAAGUCCACCUCAGUCGGGGCUCCAACCGCAUCUUGAAGUUCCGGCUGCCGCGAGGCAACCCACACCUCCAGCGCCUCUCCGUCGAGGGCAUCGGCGUCGGCCUUCCCAACCCAUUCCUAUACGAGUCCCAUCCCCACUCUGUCCUCGACGCCAUCCGCCUCCACCGCGUCACCAUCUCUGACCACGACGUCUUCUCUCUGGUCGCCGCAUGCCCGCUCCUGCGCACCCUAGAUUUACGCUACUGCAAAGGUCUACGCCGCGGCAACUUCCCUGCCGGGGCUUACCUGAAGAGCGUCACCUUCGCGGAGUGCAAAGGCCUUGCCGGCGUUUUGUUCAGGAAGGCCCCGGGCCUCCGCUCCUUCCGCUACAGCGGUGGCUACCUUGCCGCGGACCAAAUCCCGACCACCAUUCACGACCUUUAUCUCUGCUUCGGGGGACCUGACCGCCGCAAUUGCUUGGGGGGCACCACGUACGACGCAGAUGGGAGACUCUGCAGGCUGCGCAGAAGUUGCCUCGAUGCACUCAUCGAUGCCUAUAACCUCACCGUGAUUACCCUCUGCAGCAGUGCCCUACGGAGAGUUUCUGGCAAGGUUCGUGCCAAAUCAAUCCAUGGAAAUGCUGCCCUGUGCAGAUUACAGAAUUUGAGGGAGGUGCAGCUGCUGAUGUUUGCAAUGUUCGAAGAAAAUUUGCACGACAUUAUGGAUUUCCUCAUGACCUGCUGCAGCCCUCGUUUGGAGAGAUUAUUUGUGCAGCUUCCAACAAGGAGUGGUCAAUAUAAGCCACAGGAAGAACCAUCGGAUUCAGAGGAAGAUGGGUCAGAGGAAGAUGAGCUAGAGGAAGAGCUCUCGGAGGAACAUGAAUGUAAGAUGCAUGCAUGGGACAAACAUCUGUGUUACGGAGAAGAGUCUGAGAAAGAUCAAUCCGGGCAAACCGAAUCAGAGGAAGAGGUGUCAGAGGAAAAUCACUCAGAGGAAGACGAAUCAGAGGAAGAGGUGUCAGAGGAAAAUCACUUCAAGGUAGACGAAUCGGAGGACGAUGGGUCAGAGGAAGAUGAGCUGGAGGAAGAGCUGUCAGAGGGAUCAGAGUAUAUUCACUUCAAGGUAGACGAAUCGGAGGACGAUGGGUCAGAGGAAGAUGAGCCUGAGGGAGAAGACUCUGGUGAAGAUCAAUCAGAGGAAGAGGGGUCAGAGGAAUCGGUGGAAGAGCCACUAGGGAAUGGAUGUGAAAACCUUAUUUUUCUCAAGAUGAUGAAUUUCAUGGGCCGCCACAAUGAGAUGCGGCUACUAAGCUAUCUGUUGAAAAGGUCUCCCAGUCUCAACCAAUUGAUACUAUUUACUCCCGGUGAUCACCCAAAAGGGCUUCAUAAGGAUCAUCUGGUUACAUCCGAUUUUCUUGAAACAAAACUACUGCCUCUAGAAAAGGCCUCUCUGAAUCCACAGAUAAUCCUCAGUGAACCGGAUACUACUGCAGUCCAGCCGUUGCAUUGGGAGAUCUUUGUCAAGGUUUAAUUAUUUGCCAACAGGGAACUUUUGGUCAGAUAAUUUUAGAUAUCAAAGGCUAGCAACUUUGUGUAAGAUGAAGUGCCAGGGCAACGCUGCUCCAGAGCUGUGUGUUUCUCAUUACCAUAUUCUGUUUGGUGCCUGAUGCUGGUGAUUGUCCCUGCUUUGAUGAGAAGAGUUUGAGUUCUUGUUGUGCCUACAACAUGAUAGAUGGUACACUCUCCUCCCCCUGCCACGGACUCGGCAAACGCAACAUGGGGUUUGCGACAUGGUCCUUCCCUUGAAACUGAAGUGCAAGUGAGUACUAGUCACCACAUACAGUUCUAGGUUUGGCUCUCUGCAUAAAGCUCUUCCAUUAUCUAAAGAAACUGCUAUCCUAGCUAUUCAAUAAAUUGUUACUGUCUGAA